GAUGAACGCUAGCGAUAGGCCUAACACAUGCAAGUCGAGGGGCAUCACAUGAAGUAGCAAUACGGAUGGUGGCGACCGGCGCACGGGUGAGUAACACGUAUGCAACCUGCCUUCAACAAGGGGAUAACCCGUUGAAAGACGGACUAAUACCCUAUAACACAGGGGUCCCGCAUGGGAAUAUUUGUUAAAGGACAACCGGUUGAAGAUGGGCAUGCGUUCCAUUAGCUAGUUGGCGGGGUAACGGCCCACCAAGGCAACGAUGGAUAGGGGAACUGAGAGGUUUAUCCCCCACACUGGUACUGAGACACGGACCAGACUCCUACGGGAGGCAGCAGUGAGGAAUAUUGGUCAAUGGACGCAAGUCUGAACCAGCCACGUCGCGUGAAGGAAGACGGCCCUACGGGUUGUAAACUUCUUUUAACGGGAAUAAAGUGCCCCACGCGUGGGGUUUUGCAUGUACCGUAUGAAUAAGG
rnacentral:rRNA from 1 species